rnacentral:tRNA from 1 species
GGCUCAGUGGUAGAGUGCUUGCCUGGCAUGCUUGAGGCCCUGGGUUCAAUCCCCAG